GAUGAACGCUAGCGAUAGGCCUAACACAUGCAAGUCGAGGGGCAUCACAUGAAGUAGCAAUACGGAUGGUGGCGACCGGCGCACGGGUGAGUAACACGUAUGCAACCUGCCUUCAACAAGGGGAUAACCCGUUGAAAGACGGACUAAUACCCUAUAAUACAGGGGCCCCGCAUGGGGAUAUUUGUUAAAGAUUUAUCGGUUGAAGAUGGGCAUGCGUUCCAUUAGCUGGUUGGUGGGGUAACGGCCCACCAAGGCAACGAUGGAUAGGGGAACUGAGAGGUUUAUCCCCCACACUGGUACUGAGACACGGACCAGACUCCUACGGGAGGCAGCAGUGAGGAAUAUUGGUCAAUGGACGCAAGUCUGAACCAGCCACGUCGCGUGAAGGAAGACGGCCCUACGGGUUGUAAACUUCUUUUAACGGGAAUAAAGUGCCCCACGCGUGGGGUUUUGCAUGUACCGUAUGAAUAAGGAUCGGCUAACUCCGUGCCAGCAGCCGCG
rnacentral:rRNA from 1 species